GACGAACGCUGGCGGCGUGCUUAACACAUGCAAGUCGAACGGAAAGGCUCCAGCUUGCUGGCGUACUCGAGUGGCGAACGGGUGAGUAACACGUGUGUAAUCUGCCCUGCACUCUGGGAUAAGCCUGGGAAACUGGGGCUAAUACUGGAUAUGAUCUUUCUCCUUAUGGGGUUUGGUGGAAAGUUUCUCGGUGUAGGAUGAGUACGCGGGCUAUCAGCUUGUUGGUGGUGUGAUGGCCUACCAAGGCGACGGCGGGUAGCGCGCCUGAGGGGGUGAGCGGCCACCUUGGGACUGAGAGACGGCCCAGACUCCGACGGGAGGCAGCAGUGGGGAAUAUUGAACGAUGGGCGGCAGCCUGAUGCAGCGAGGCCGCGUGAGGGAUGACGGUCUUAGGGUUGUAAACCUCUUUCAGCAGGGACGAAGCGUAAGUGACGGUACCUGAAGAAGAAGCACCCGCUUAAUAUGUGG
rnacentral:rRNA from 1 species